rnacentral:rRNA from 1 species
AGCGAACGCUGGCGGCAGGCCUAACACAUGCAAGUCGAACGGAUCCUUCGGGAUUAGUGGCGGACGGGUGAGUAACACGUGGGAACGUGCCCUUUGGUUCGGAACAACUCAGGGAAACUUGAGCUAAUACCGGAUGUGCCCUUCGGGGGAAAGAUUUAUCGCCAUUGGAGCGGCCCGCGUCUGAUUAGCUAGUUGGUGAGGUAAAGGCUCACCAAGGCGACGAUCAGUAGCUGGUCUGAGAGGAUGAUCAGCCACAUUGGGACUGAGACACGGCCCAAACUCCUAUGGGAGGCAGCAGUGGGGAAUUUUGCGCAAUGGGCGAAAGCCUGACGCAGCCAUGCCGCGUGAAUGAUGAAGGUCUUAGGAUUGUAAAAUUCUUUCACCGGGGACGAUAAUGACGGUACCCGGAGAAGAAGCCCCGGCUAACUUCGUGCCAGCCGCCGCCGUAA